rnacentral:lncRNA from 1 species
GUCAAAGGCGCGUGCGAGGAUGCCGACAGGCUGCGGCACGGGCGCACCGACGGUGGGCGCCUCGACGGGCGGCGGCGUGUCCAAAAUGGGCAGGGCGAAAAACUGGGUGCCAGCGGCCGCGAUGGCCCCCACGUCGUCGACAAAGAGGUUCUCUGAAAGGCCGGCUUCGCGCAACAGCCCCUCUUCAAAUAGGGUGCCAGCGAUAAAAUCGAUCAAAUCGUCGGGUUGGCGAAAGGCCCGGUUGCGCGCCGUGGUGGCCAAAAGCGACGUCACGGCCGCAGAGGCGCCGGUCGCACCGCGCCGCCGACCUGCGGUGGCGAGCGCAGCCCUAAACGGACCCGACAGGCGCCGCGCGGGCUCCUUGGACGCGAUCUCGGCAUAGAGGGCGUGCAGGCCCAAAAGGCCCCACCGACGCACGCUGGCAGGUGCACGGUCUUCAUAGGCCACCGUGGCCAAGAGCACGGCGAGGUCGCGCGCAUAGGCGUUGAGGUAGGGGUGAAAGAUGGCGUGGCGCGGUGCCUGGUCGGCGCCCACCAGAGACGCCAGGGACUCUACAGAGGGCGCGACGGGUGCGGCUGCCGCGCCCUGGCCGCCGGGUGCGGCGCCAUACAUGCCUGCGACAUCGUCGUGGCCAGCGACGUCGAUGCCCAGAGCGCGCAGCCGAUCGCUGCUGGCCAGGGCAAAGUCGGUGGCGCGCGCCAGCCAGCAUCGGGUGCGCACGGCAAAGCGGCGCCACCCGUGGGCGCGCGACUGGAGCGCGUAGCGAAAGACCGGCUCAGCGUCGCACGUGAGGUCGCCGCGUGCACACGGUGGUUCAUAGGCUCCUCCCGCAGACAUCGCUGCUGUAUCGGUGCCAGGCGACGCCAAAAUGCGCGAUAGCAAUAUGUUGCGCCCAUAGAGGUCGUUAUUGGCGAGAUCAUAGACCCGUGCCGCCCACGAGAGGCCGGCGCACACCUGAAAGGCGACGCUCAUCCACUCGGCCUCGGAGCGACGGACGCCCGCUGCCCACGCCGCCAGAUCGCAGUCGGCCACCUCUUGAAAGAGGUCGACCGCGCCGCCUCCCACUCUAUAGGUGCGGCCGCCAAGCGUGCUCACCGGCGGCGGAUAGCGCGCCGCAGCACCAUAGGCGCAGGGGAGAUUGGGACAGGCACGCGUCUUGACCAGCGCCGACAGCAUGCCCGUGAGGACCACCUCACGCACGGCCACAUCGGGCGAGUCGUUGGGGGCCACGGUGGUUACCUUGAUGGCCAGGGGCAGUUGUGGCGGCGAUGAUGUGUCCUCGGUCGCGCGGCGGUUCCCAGAGCCAGUCGACGUUGCCGCAGCGAGAUCCGGCGGCGGGCGCCGAAAGCCGGCUGCGCACACGGACCCGUAGGCGCCGCUGCCGAGAGCGCGCACCAGAUACAGGCCGGUGUCGAGGCGCAUCGGGUCGGUGGCCGGCAUGGCGCCCGGCACGGUGGGUAACUCGUAGACGAGGCCGGCCAGCGCGCGGCCCAUGGCCCCGGCGACCCGCGCGCGUUCCUCGAUCGCGGCCUCGACCAGGCUGAGCGCCGCCGCGGCGCUGGCCGUGCCGGCCUCGCCCGUCUCGCCGCGCGGCAGCGGUCUCAGACCGCACGCCGACGGCGCCUGCGUACCGGCUAGCAGCGAGGAUAGUUUGCUCGAUGUUGCGGUUGUUCCCGCAGAUUGCAUCAUGGGUGCCUAUUGUUUGACACUCGGAUCGACUGUUGUCUUUCUUUUGCCUUUUUGGCGUCGUCGGUCCCGUUGGCGCCGACCAACCGAUCGUGUGAUACGGUCACAAACAGGGCUGUCGCUUUCCCAAG